rnacentral:rRNA from 1 species
GAUGAACGCUGGCGGCGUGCUUAACACAUGCAAGUCGAACGAAGCACCUCUCCCUAUGUUUGACACUGCUUUCUGUAGCUUGAUUCAUUUGAGGUGACUGAGUGCCCUUCGCUUUAGUAACGCUUCGGUAACCUGCGUCUUAUACGGGGACGACAGUUGGACUCCACUGCUAGUAUCGCAUAGUAAGAAGAGUUCGCAUUUUUUCUUCUUGUUAGCUUGUUCGUGAUGAGAUGGACCCUCGUCUGAUUAUUUACUUGGUACGGUAAUGGCUUACCAAGGCGGCGAACAGGAGCCGGCUGGAGAGAGGGAACGGCCACAAUGGGACUGAGACACGGCCCAAUCUCCGACGGGAGGCAGCAGUGGGGAAUAUUGCACAAGGGGGGAAACCGUGAUGAAGCGACGCCGGGGGAGUGAAGAAGUAGUUCGGUAUGUAAAGCUCUAUCAGCAGGGAAGAGAAUGACGGUACCGGACUAAGAAGCCCCGGCUAACUACGUG